rnacentral:rRNA from 1 species
AACGAACGCUGGCGGCAGGCCUAACACAUGCAAGUCGAACGAGAUCUUCGGAUCUAGUGGCGGACGGGUGAGUAACGCGUGGGAACGUGCCCUUCUCUACGGAAUAGUCCUGGGAAACUGGGUUUAAUACCGUAUACGCCCUUCGGGGGAAAGAAUUUCGGGGAAGGAUCGGCCCGCGUUGGAUUAGGUAGUUGGUGGGGUAAUGGCCUACCAAGCCGACGAUCCAUAGCUGGUUUGAGAGGAUGAUCAGCCACACUGGGACUGAGACACGGCCCAGACUCCUACGGGAGGCAGCAGUGGGGAAUCUUAGACAAUGGGGGCAACCCUGAUCUAGCCAUGCCGCGUGAGUGACGAAGGCCCUAGGGUCGUAAAGCUCUGUUCUUGGGGAAGAUAACGACGGUACCCAAGGAGAAAGCACCGGCU